GAUGAACGCUGGCGGCGUGCCUAAUACAUGCAAGUCGAGCGAACAGACGAGGAGCUUGCUCCUCUGACGUUAGCGGCGGACGGGUGAGUAACACGUGGAUAACCUACCUAUAAGACUGGGAUAACUUCGGGAAACCGGAGCUAAUACCAGAUAAUAUAUUGAACCGCAUGGUUCAAUAGUGAAAGACGGUUUUGCUGUCACUUAUAGAUGGAUCCGCGCCGCAUUAGCUAGUUGGUAAGGUAACGGCUUACCAAGGCAACGAUGCGUAGCCGACCUGAGAGGGUGAUCGGCCACACUGGAACUGAGACACGGUCCAGACUCCGACGGGAGGCAGCAGUAGGGAAUCUUCCGCAAUGGGCGAAAGCCUGACGGAGCAACGCCGCGUGAGUGAUGAAGGUCUUCGGAUCGUAAAACUCUGUUAUUAGGGAAGAACAAAUGUGUAAGUAACUAUGCACGUCUUGACGGUACCUAAUCAGAAAGCCACGGCUAACUACGUG
rnacentral:rRNA from 1 species